rnacentral:rRNA from 1 species
GACGAACGCUGGCGGCGUGCUUAACACAUGCAAGUCGAACGGAAAGGCCCUGCUUUUGUGGGGUGCUCGAGUGGCGAACGGGUGAGUAACACGUGAGUAACCUCCCCUUGACUUUGGGAUAACUUCAGGAAACUGGGGCUAAUACCGGAUAGGAUCUCCUGCUGCAUGGUGGGGGUUGGAAAGUUUCGGCGGUUGGGGAUGGACUCGCGGCUUAUCAGCUUGUUGGUGGGGUAGUGGCUUACCAAGGCUUUGACGGGUAGCCGGCCUGAGAGGGUGACCGGCCACAUUGGGACUGAGAUACGGCCCAGACGCCUACGGGAGGCAGCAGUGGGGAAUAUUGCACAAUGGGCGGAAGCCUGAUGCAGCAACGCCGCGUGCGGGAUGACGGCCUUCGGGUUGUAAACCGCUUUCGCCUGUGACGAAGCGUGAGUGACGGUAAUGGGUAAAGAAGCACCGGCUAACUACGUG